CUACGUAGGGUGCGAGCGUUGUCCGGAAUUACUGGGCGUAAAGAGCUCGUAGGUGGUUUGUCGCGUCGUCUGUGAAAUUCCGGGGCUUAACUCCGGGCGUGCAGGCGAUACGGGCAUAACUUGAGUACUGUAGGGGAGACUGGAAUUCCUGGUGUAGCGGUGAAAUGCGCAGAUAUCAGGAGGAACACCGGUGGCGAAGGCGGGUCUCUGGGCAGUAACUGACGCUGAGGAGCGAAAGCAUGGGUAGCGAACAGGAUUAGAUACCCUGGUAGUCCAUGCCGUAAACGGUGGGCGCUAGGUGUAGGGGUCUUCCACGACUUCUGUGCCGUAGCUAACGCAUUAAGCGCCCCGCCUGGGGAGUACGGCCGCAAGGCUAAAACUCAAAGGAAUUGACGGGG
rnacentral:rRNA from 1 species